rnacentral:tRNA from 1 species
GCUGGGGGUCUAGUUCAGUGAUAGAGCACUUACCUAGCAUGUGUGAGGCCCUGGGUUUAAUUCCCAGCACAGCA